GAUAUUGCACUAAAUUUAAUUGCACUACAUUAAGUUUUUACAUAUCUUUCGUAAAAGUUCGUCAGAGUAUGAAAAUGUCGAUACAAUUUGUCAUGAAUAACUUAAAUUUUAAGAUUUUCGCGCAUAAAAUUAUGACGCGCGCUGUCUGUGCGGCGGCGUAAUUCGCUACUCGUAUAGCCGUCUCGCUUCUUCUUGUAUGUGCUUUACCGUUGCUCACCGCUUCAAGAACAUUGCUGCUCACACACACGUCAGUCUGUGGCAAACAAUUGGAGGGGGAGGAUGUGUCGGUUUGCUCCAGAAAUCGUGUGUGAUUUUGUUGCUGGAUUUGGUUCCAUCGCUGUUUGUUUUGGUGAAAUUGAAAAGGUAAGAAUCAUCAACCGGUGUAAAAGUGUGAGAGUAAGAUGAUGCUGAUGGUGACUGAUGCUUUUCUUUGUUUUUUUUUCGGCUUUUAUCCACUGAUGGCGUCGAGCAUCGCCGAGGAUGUGAUCGAAUGCGGAAUAUCCUAAACGAGGAGCUUCAUUCCGGAUUUUGUUUGCAAUAAGCGCUGAACUCAUCCUCCAGCUUACAACGAACGGUCAACGGAUGAGGAAGGAGAGGAGGGACGGCAAAGGUACACGCACAAACGUGCACACAUCAGCCUUGUCGGAGAACGAGAACACGGGAGGGGGAGACCGGCAACGUAUAGAACCUUUAAGCUCCCUCGUGCGUUCGUGCGUGCGUGCGCGCGCGCGUCUAUGUGUGUGUAUGUGUGUGCAUGCCUGCGUGCGUGGCUGUGUGUGUUUUUGCCGCUUCGCAUAACGAGAUCCUACGGGAUCACCUUGCGAAAAACACCAAGAGAGGGGAAGGGGUAGGUGUAUGUGUAUGUGUAUGUGUGCUUGCAUGCGUGCGUGGCUGUGUAUGUGUGUAUGUAUGUGUGCUUGCAUGCGUGCGUGGCUGUGUGCGUGUUUUUUGCUGUUUCGCGAUCUCCUACGGAAUCACCUUGCGAAAACACGAGGGGGAGGGGGGAGGAGUGGGGUGUGUGUGUGCUUGCCUGCGUGCUUUGUGUGUGUGUGUUUUUGCGUUCACGUUCUACGGGAUCACUUUGCGAAAAACACUAAGGGGAGGAGGAGGUGUGUGUGUGUAUGUGUUUUUUUUUCUUUGCCGAUUCUCUCGCGGAUCUAGUUGUGUGCGUUAGUUUUUUUUUAGUUUCUUCGAAAAAUCUUCGAAAAAUACCUGGGGGAGGAUGUGUGUAUGAAAGAAUGUACUUCAGAAAAGAAAGUGAAAAA